UCACACUGUUUGAUUCCUCUGAAU
rnacentral:siRNA from 1 species